rnacentral:pre_miRNA from 1 species
AUUAUACUCCCUCCGUUCGGAAUUACUUGUCGAAGCAAUGAAUGUAUCUAGACGUAUUUUAGUUCUAGAUACAUCCAUUUUCGAGACAAGUAAUUCCGAACGGAGGGAGUAUUUA